CGGCCUCCCAAAGUACUGGGAUUACAGGUGGAGACUGGACCUCAGAAGAGGGAGUGGGUGCCCCGAGAACUCACAGCUAGCGGACAGUGGAAAGGGCAGGAGCCGGACCAAGGUGAGGACAGUGGAACUGAAGGCCGCUGGUUACCUCUCCUGCCCUCCGCUGGCCACAGUGGAGAAGACAGCCCCUCCCUCCUGCUCUGACCUGACAGUGUUCAUCCAUCGCCCUGUAUUAGCGAAGAACAACAUCAAGCUGGCUAGCAAGGAACUGUAUACAGGGUCCAGCUGGGUAUCACACUGGAUCUCACCCAAAGCUUAGAUGUGAUCCAGCUCAGUAUCACAAAGCAGAACGAAAAGGAUGUGUUUGGGCUGAGAGGCCAUACAUUGAUGGAGUCUUGCUCUGUCGCCCAGGCUGGAGUCCAGUGGCGCGAUCUCGGUUCACUGCAAGCUCUGCCUCCCGAGUUCAUGCCAUUCUCCUGCCUCAGCCUCCUGAGUAGCUGGGACUACAGGCACCUGCCACCACGGCUGGCUAAUUUUUUUUUUUUUUUUUUUGAAAUGGAGUCUUGCUCUGUUGCCCAGGCUG
rnacentral:lncRNA from 1 species